CAUAACCUCUAGAUGUGACUGUUGAGAGCUUUUCUUAUUAUAGUCUAGCUUCUUUACAUGAGUUUGAAAUCCGAUUGAAUUGCAAAUUAUAUUAGUAACUAUGGAAUAUAUGAAGAGUUUGGGGUCUUCUGUCAUUGAAAUAAUCAAAGCCAAGAAUAAGCGUGAAAUGUUGGAGCAAAAAAUGGACGACCUACUGAGUCAUCAGAGACAAUUUGUCGAAAAUAAUCGUCGGUCCUUAGAACAGAAAAUAAAAGAAAAGGAAAAGGAAGUGUUUGGUCAGCUACAUGACUUACUGACAGGGGAUCUGCCGUGCGACCAGAUGAACCAGGACUUGCAGCAAGCCAACGACGCUCUAUGAGCAGAACUCGACAAAAUCUAUUCAUGACUAAUAUUUAAGUUUCAGAGUAGCAGCCGUGUUAGAAAUCCAUCAGCUGCAAGAAGAACUGAAAACAGCUUAACAGUUUCUGAAGGAGACCCAGAAUUAUGCGGAAGAGAUGAAAAUCUAGACAAUCUGAAGGCUUUAGAUCAACUGAAGAAGCAAAAUGGAUUCGCUCACAGUAAACUGAAGACAUGGAUGCAAUCCUGUGCUGAUGAGGUGGCACAUUCACUGACCCAGGACAACGAGCAAGAGUAUGAGCCAGACGGACUCCCGGAGCUGGUCAGAAAAGGCUUUGCUGAUAUUCCUACUGGGAAAACCAACCUCUGUGUUUUGCGCAGAACAGCGCUAAACCUAAAGACCAGUCCCCGUCUUGCUGCUCAAAGCCAAAAUUUGUCACCAUAUGGCCAACGUUUACAGAAAGGCAGGUCAGAUAAUUUUGCCAAGAUCUCUAAACCGACAGCUGGUGGCAGCAAAUCACCAAAGGUAGAUGAUACUCAACGGUGCCAAGCAGAAACAACUAUUGAACCCAUGGAAUCUCGUUCAAGAUCUCCUCUUUGCAUAAAUAAGCAACCCACAAAAGCUGUUGCUGAGACCUCUAGGGAGAAUCUUAACACACACAAAGGCAGAUGUUCCUUCAGCAGAAAAACAUUACCUGAUCGGAAUGAACAAGACAAAAACUGUAUGGUACAGUAAACCUGAGUAGUAUAGGUAGUAUACCAUGAAACAAACCCUAACCGCACCCUUUGACCCCUUAAACUCUGCCACUUGACCCCUUAAACCCCACCCACCUAUCACCAAAAGUCCCGCUCCGGGGGGUAUUACUCCCAGGGUCAAGAUGCCACAUGACCAGAAGCAAGGUGUGUCAUGUGACCAUCCUCUACCAAUCAGGAAGGGUUUCAGCCGCUGGGGACCACCCCGAGAGGAGAUUUGA